GGCAUCCGCACACGCACGCGCACCAAUACGCUCUCGCAUCGCAUCAUUCUCUACACUGCUGCAGGGAUGCACUAGGUUUCUAGCAGCGUUCACGGCACCGUCACCGCUCUUCUCAGUCACAGAACGAUUCUUCGGCGACGCCACACCCCAGCUGCAGACAGCAGCUGGCGUAGGGGUCACCACCACCACCACGCAGAUGGUUUACAAGCGCAAGCGCCAGAACAAGAAGGCGCGGAGGGCACCAGCGCGCAAGCUGCAAAAUGCAGCCGAAGCAGCGGCUGUCGCCGCAGCACUCGUACCUGUUGGCGGCGCUGAUGAAGGCGCCGCUGAGCAGUACUGCGAUGCCGGCUUCUCUUCAACGCUGUCAACCGGCGACAGGGCUGUAUCCUGUGCGCCGGUGACCAUCAACGGCACGUGCAGCAACGCUGCUGCUGCUGAGUCGCCCACUGAAGCAAACUUGCGAUCAGCACACGGAGAAGAAAUGUCCCAGGAAAAGCAGAGCGAGAAGCAGCAGCAGCAGCCAGGCACUUCUGGUUGCCAGUGCUGCUCGGGCACGUCAGGCCUCCUGUACUCUGUCCCGCCCACUCCCGCCGACUUGGCCCGCUUGAGUGUAGCCAGCGGUGCUGCCGGACUUCCGUCUGUGCUGGCGGCCACCCACCUGCCAUGCAUACCAGGUGUCACUUCCUGCAGUCCUCAAUGCAGGGAGGAUGGCAACGGCGAGGGUCACUAUGUCGCCUACCUUCUCUCAGAGCAGCUGAGUAACAACACCACAAUGCCAAUGACGAUGUGGGGGGUGUACUCUCUGCGCAGUGGGGACUGUCUGCAAGUGGUACACUGGCAUCACAGCCCUGACGCACACGCAUCGCCGGUCAUUAACCGUGCCCUGCACCCAUCUUCGACCUCCCCCCAUGCGCAGCAGACGAGAGAACUCAUCAUGCGCGUCGAUGCCACCGGUUUGUGCUUCAUGCUUGCGCCCUCCUCGCUAGUGUCCGUGGAAGGGGGCGGCGCGGCAGGGUGCAUGACGCCGGCCUCGGUCUCCUCAGAGCCAGACACAGCCGCACCAGGAGCAGCGACGUCGGGGGACGUCUAUUGGCUGAUACCCUCCGUAAUGAAGGAGAGCUUUUUUGCGCUUCUCCAGGCCCAGGAGUGGCUACGCACGGUACCGCCUCGCCACCCAGCUUCCGACGCAUGUGCCCACCGUCUCGAGUGUCAAGGCUGGUGUGUGCAGCCCCAUCCAACGCGGUGGGUGCGUGUCACGCCGUCUGUGAAGGCAAAGCAGCAACGCGACUCGCCGUCGCCACGCGCGCAGUCGCCGCCGCAGCAGCAGCCAUCCAUCGCGGCGGCGGCGGCGGCUCCGUCGCAGAACACGGCGAGUACCACGCGCUCCAGACUUGCGCCUAAUGCCGCAAUGCCGUCGUCGUUGUCCCAGUACCGAAUUCCGUACGUGGCGGCAGUGCCGCAACUUCAGAAGCGCCGCAGCGGCGCACCUGAGUCACACUUGCCGUUGACGGCAGUGCCAGCAGCAGCUGUAGCACCGGUGGUUCUCCUCCUUGGUAAUCGCAUCGCCCCAUACCCGGCCGACGGAGCGCGUGGAGCAAGGACGUGACGAGAUCGGCGGCAGUGCUAGUGAUCCACCCCCGCCCCCUUUUUUCGUUUUCUUCUACAACUCUUUGGUGGCGCGGCGAUGGGGAGAGAGAGAACGAAUCCGCAGCAGGUAGACGUUCAGUGUGCCGCGCUUACGGCCACCGUGUGUGCGGUCAUGUGUGCUCCUCUCGUUGGCUCCUUGUCUCUCGUCCCAACCCCCAGCAGGGCCUCCGCCGCUCUGCUUGCUUCAUUCAUCUGCUACAAGAGACUGCAGCAUCAUUGC
rnacentral:misc_RNA from 1 species